CAUGAGUUCUUAAAGCUAGAAAAUGAAUUGGGAACAUAACCAGACAAGAGGCUGUUAGCAUGGUACCUCCCCUCUUCUUGGAUGUACAGCCAGAUCAUUUUAUACUUGAUAUGUGCGCAGCACCAGGUUCAAAAACAUUCCAAUUGCUAGAGAUUAUUCAUCAAUCCGCAAAACCUGGAUCACUACCUGAUGGAAUGGU